UAAAAGUUUUGUAAAUAGACUAGUCCACGUAUGCCAACAGUAUGUAAUCAUCGAAUGUCGAUAGACUAUUGUAUACCAAAAGAAGAAGACGAAGAAGAAGAGAACCAAUUUGAUUUAGAUACAGGUUGAUGUUUAACUUGCUUUGGUUCAUCGAAGUUGUGGACAUAGUAAAAUCACAGAUUUAUAUUGACGUUACGCACGGUAUUGGUGCCACUUAGCGUUACACGACGUUCCUAAUAAAACAACGAUUUUGACGUUGUUCCACGGAAAGUUUCAAACGUUGACCUUAUAUUUUACUCAUGUGAAAAUGCCGCUUAAAGUACAGAGAAUUUCGAUGUUGCUUCUUUAUAUGGUUUUAUUUUUUUCAAGCGGGUGCAAAUGCAAAAUUCCAUUGAAUUAAAAUAAUUUUUUUAAUAUUUGAAAAGAAUUGUCUGCAACAGUAACACAAAAUAACAAUUUGAUGUCUUGUAAAAUGAUUUAAAUAUAUAAAAAAGAUGUGGUAUGAUUGCCAAUGAGACCACUUUUCACAAGAGACCAAAUUGUCACAAAAAUAAACAACUAUAGGUCACUGUACGGCCUUCAAAAAUGAGCAAAGUCCAUACCGCAUAGUCUGUUAUACAAGGCCCCGAAAUGACAAUGUAAAACAAUUCAGUCGAGAAAACUAACUGCCUCAUUCAUGUUACAAAAUGAACGAAAAAGUCUGUUUUGUAUAUUUUUUUACUUUUUUUUUUU
rnacentral:lncRNA from 1 species